GACAACGAUUUCUGGACACGUU
rnacentral:siRNA from 1 species